GAUGAAGACGUAGCGAAAUGCGAUAAUUAAUGUGAAUUGCAGAAUUCCGUGAAUCAUCGAGUCUUUGAACGCACAUUGCGCCUCAUGGCAUUCCGUGAGGCAUGCCCAUCUCAGCGUUAGAAAAUAUUCUCAAAUUUUAGUUUUGUGCUAAAAUUUGGAUCAUGUCAAGGAAGCUAUUACUAUUAUUGUGAUCGCUCUUUGGAAAUUGAUAGGUCUUUGAGUUGCUACUCAUAGAACGUGAUGAAUCUUUCUUCGUUCUAUUGUAAUUCACUCUGGUAGUCCUAAAACUUGUAUGCCUGUGGCAUAUCUUGUAAUUUGACCUGAGAUUGGGUAGGGAUACCCGCUGAACUUAAGCAUAUCAAUAAGCGGAGGA
rnacentral:misc_RNA from 1 species